rnacentral:rRNA from 1 species
GACGAACGCUGGCGGCAGGCUUAACACAUGCAAGUCGAACGCUCUCUUCGGAGGGAGUGGCAGACGGGUGAGUAACGCGUGGGAAUCUACCCAGUACUACGGAACAACAGUUAGAAAUGACUGCUAAUACCGUAUACGCCCUUCGGGGGAAAGAUUUAUCGGUAUUGGAUGAGCCCGCGUUUGAUUAGCUAGUUGGUGAGGUAACGGCUCACCAAGGCGACGAUCAAUAGCUGGUCUGAGAGGACGAUCAGCCACACUGGGACUGAGACACGGCCCAG